GGGAACCUCACCAGGCCCGUACACCGGAAGGAUUGAUAGAUUGAGAGUGGUGGUGCAUGGCCGUUCUUAGUUGGUGGAGCGAUUUGUCUGGUUAAUUCCGAUAACGAACGAGACUCUGUCCUGCUAAAUAGUGUCUGCCUUUUUUUGGGCAGACAAUUCUUCUUAGAGGGACUGGCAACUCCAAGUUGCACGAAAAAGAGCAAUAA
rnacentral:rRNA from 1 species